rnacentral:lncRNA from 1 species
AGACGUCUGCUUACUCUUGUUCACUCAAGGAGAAUCCCCUCUGGCCAGUCCUCCCACUGCUGCCUGUGAAUGCCUCCUCACACAACAUGAGAAAUCCUCCACCAGAGCGGGAGCCUCCCACCUCCCGAGGAAUUCCGCUGGUGCCUGCCCCUCCUUGAGGCAGGCCGCGGACAGCCCAGGGCGCCUCGCGAUUGGUUGGCCCAACCCCGGCUCAACUCCUCUAUGCCCCUGGCCAUCUACAGGCUCACCCCCCUUCCCGCUGCUGCGCCUGGGAUGUACCGUGGUGGCCUUUAACCCUUACGCAGACCAGCCGGGACUGCCCGCUCCAGGUUCUGCUCCUCAACCGAUCGAAGACACUGGAGGGAAGAAGGACGUAAGGGCCUCACUGCACCACUGGGGGCGGGGUGAAGAGACCUAUCCGUGGCUAUACCAAAAUCGAGAUGCCAUCACUGGCUGGGAGCUGCGGGCCAAGUCAGGGUGGCGAGUGCCACUUUUCUGAGCCCCACACCCUCACCGGCAGUUGGAUGACAAGACCGACGUGCGGCAGC